UACGUAGGUGGCGAGCGUUGUCCGGAUUUACUGGGCGUAAAGGGCUUGUAGGCGGUCCGUUAAGUCCGAUGUGAAAUCUCCCGGCUCAACUGGGAGAGGUCAUUGGAUACUGGCGGACUAGAGGGGGGUAGAGGAAAGCAGAAUUCCUGGUGUAGCGGUGAAAUGCGUAGAUAUCAGGAGGAAUACCAGUGGCGAAGGCGGCUUUCUGGGCCUACCCUGACGCUGAGGCGCGAAAGCGUGGGGAGCAAACCGG
rnacentral:rRNA from 1 species